rnacentral:rRNA from 1 species
GCCUACGGCCAUACCACCCUGAAUGCGCCCGAUCUCGUCUGAACUCGGAAGCUAAGCAGGGUUGGGCCUGGUUAGUACUUGGAUGGGAGACUGCCCGGGAAUACCCGGUGCUGUAGGCUUU